CCCACCUGGGUUGAAAACCGGGGGGAUGACUUGGGGCUAGGGGUGAAAGGCCAAUCAAAUUCCGUGAUAGCUGGUUCUCUCCGAAAUGCAUUUGGGUGCAGCGUCGGGUCAUUACGUCCCGGGGGUAGAGCUACUGGAUGCUUGCGGGCCCGUAUCGGGUACCAACAGCAACCAAACUCCGAAUACCGGUGACGCGUAUCCCGGCAGUGAGUCGGCGGGGGAUAAGCUUCGUCGUCGAAAGGGAAACAGCCCAGACCGUCGUCUAAGGUCCCGAAGCGUGUGCUAAGUGGGAAAGGAUGUGGAGUCGCAUAGACAGCCAGGAGGUUGGCUCAGAAGCAGCCACCCUUGAAAGAGUGCGUAACAGCUCACUGGUCUAGUGGUUCCGCGCCGACAAUGUAGCGGGGCUCAAGCACACCACCGAAGACGCGGCAGUAUUUUGUACUGGGUAGGAGAGCGUCCCAUGAGGGGCGAAGCGGCCGUGUGAACGCGCCGUGGACUUCAUGGGAGUGAGAAUGCAGACAUGAGUAGCGAGAGACGGGUGAAGAUCCCGUCCGCUGGAUGACCAAGGGUUCCAGGGCCACGUUCAUCGUCCCUGGGUGAGUCGGGUCCUAAGGCGAGGCCGACAGGCGUAGUCGAAUGGAUGAACGGGUCGAUAUUCCCGUACCGGCUUUCAGCCGCCAAAACCGAGGCUUGGAGUACUAACCUCCGGGUCCGGGCUUACUGCUCCUUCGGGGGCGGGAUGCCCUGGCCUGUUGGGACCGAUCCUUGUAGUAGGUCAGCGCAGGAGUGACGCAGAAGGGUAGCCGGCCGCGGAGGUGGUCUUCCGUGGUCAAGCACGCAGGGCGUGGGACAGGCAAAUCCGUCCCGCAUGGGUCCGAGGUGCGAUGAUGGGGGCCUUAUGGCCCGAUAUCCGGUGAUCCCGGCUGCCGAGAAAAGCUUCGGCGUCAGGCUCGAAGCCGCCCGUACCCCAAACCGACACUGGUGGUCAGGUAGAGAAUACCAAAGCGAUCGAGCGAAUCCUGGUCAAGGAACUCGGCAAAUCACUCCCGUUCCUUCGGUUUAAGGGAGACCCCCGAUGGUGAACACGCUUGCUGUGGGAGCUUUUGGGGGUGGCACAGACCAGGGGGUAGCGACUGUUUACCAAAAACACAGGUGCAUGCGAAGGCGCAAGCCGCUGUAUAUGCACUGACGCCUGCCCGGUGCCGGAAGGUUAAGAGGAUCCGUCAGCCUUCGGGUGAAGCGGUGAAUUCAAGCCCCGGUAAACGGCGGUGGUAACUAUAACCAUCCUAAGGUAGCGAAAUUCCUUGUCGGGUAAGUUCCGACCUGCACGAAUGGCGUAACGACUUCCCCACUGUCUCGACCAGGAGCUCGGCGAAAUUGCAGUACGAGUAAAGAUGCUCGUUAAGCGCAGAAGGACGAAAAGACCCCGGGACCUUUACUAUACCUUGGUAUUGGCAUUCGGUGUGGAUUGUGUAGCAUAGGCGGGAGGCCGAGAGGCGCGGUCGCCAGAUCGCGCGGAGCCGUAAGGUGAAAUACCGCUCUGUUCGCAUUGGAUGUCUAACCUCGAACAGUCAUCCUGUUCAGGGACAGUGCCUGGCGGGUAGUUUAACUGGGGCGGUUGCCUCCCAAAGAGUAACGGAGGCGCCCAAAGGUCCGCUCAGCCCGGUUGGCAAUCGGGUGGCGAGUGCAAGUGCACAAGCGGGCUUGACUGCGAGGACGACGGUCCGAGCAGGGACGAAAGUCGGGACUAGUGAUCCGGUGCCGGUGUACGGACGCGGCAUCGCUCAACGGAUAAAAGGUACUCCGGGGAUAACAGGCUGAUCAUUCCCAAGAGUCCAUAUCGACGGGAUGGUUUGGCACCUCGAUGUCGGCUCGUCGCAUCCUGGGGCUGAAGUAGGUCCCAAGGGUUCGGCUGUUCGCCGAUUAAAGCGGCACGCGAGCUGGGUUCAGAACGUCGUGAGACAGUUUGGUCUCUAUCCUCUGCGCUCGUUGGAAUGCUGAGGAGGCCUGCCCAUAGUACGAGAGGACCUGGGUGGACGAACCUCUGGUAUGCCGGUUGUCACGCCAGUGGCACGGCCGGUUGGCUACGUUCGGAAGGGAUAACCGCUGAAAGCAUCUAAGCGGGAAGCCUGCUCCAAGAUAAGCAUUCCGUGGAACCUUCGAGUUCCUGUAGUCCCCAUGCAGAACACGUGGUCGAUAGGCCGGACGUGGAAGCCCCGCGAGGGGUGGAGCCGACCGGUACUAACGGACGAAAGGCAACACUAA
rnacentral:rRNA from 1 species